rnacentral:rRNA from 1 species
AUACGGAGGGUGCAAGCGUUGUCCGGAUUUAUUGGGUUUAAAGGGUGUGUAGGCGGUGUAUUAAGUCAGUGGUGAAAGCCUGCGGCUCAACCGUAGAACUGCCAUUGAUACUGACACACUUGAGUAUGGACGAGGUAGGCGGAAUUUAUGGUGUAGCGGUGAAAUGCAUAGAUACCAUAAAGAACACCGAUAGCGAAGGCAGCUUACUAGGCCAUAACUGACGCUGAGGCACGAAAGCGUUGGGAGCGAACAGGAUUAGAUACCCGUGUAGUCC